rnacentral:rRNA from 1 species
AUUGAACGCUGGCGGCAGGCCUAACACAUGCAAGUCGAACGAGUGGCGGACGGGUGAGGAAUGUCUGGGAAACUGCCCGAUGGAGGGGGAUAACUACUGGAAACGGUAGCUAAUACCGCAUACCAUCGGAUGUGCACAGAUGGGAUUAGCUUGUAGGUGGGGUAACGGCUGACAUAGGCGACGAUCCCUAGCUGGGCUGAGAGGAUGACCAGCAAAACUGGAACUGUGACAAGGUCCAGAUUCCUACGGGAGGCAGCAGUGGGGAAUAUUGCACAAUGGGCGCAAGCCUGAUGCAGCCAUGCCGCGUGUAUGAAGAAGGCCUUCGGGUGGUAAAGUACUUUCAGCGAGGAGGCGUUACUCGCAGAAUAAGCACCGGCUAACUCCGUGCCAGCAGCCGCGGUAAUAC